AUGCGGCGCGGGCGCGGGCGCGGCGGCGGCGGGCGGCACCCGAAGGCGCCCCCCUCCUCGGCGGCGGUCGACCGCACCCCGAUGUCGGACGCCUUCAUCAUCCAGAGGAACCUCGACCACGCCUUCUCCCGCCGCGACUCCGACGCCUACAGCAUCUGCAGCAGCCGCCCCUCCUCCAUCGGCACGGCUCAGGCGGCCUCCCACGCCGGGGGCCCCAUCACCAGCCUCUCCGACCGCGGCUCCCAGGCCGCCGCCCUCCGCGUCGUCAACGCCUACCUCGCGCCCGCCGCCAUCCACCUCCGCCCGUCCCUCCCGCCCGCCAAGGACAUCGUCGCCGCCUUCCACCACCUCGCCGACCGCCUCCGCUACCCCCUCAAGCCCGCCGCCUGGGAGGACGACCUCCUCUCGCUCCUCCGCUCCCUCGGCUGCCCCUACAAGGUCACCAGAUCCGCUCUCAAGGCUCCCGGCACCCCGCACUCCUGGCCGCCGCUCCUCUCCGUCCUCUACUGGCUCACCCUUCUCUGCCGCGUCACCGACGGCCUCGACGCCUCCCCUCCCGUCUCCGCCUCCAAUGACCUCAUGACCUACAUCACCGAGAGCUACUACCUGUUCCUCACCGGCGAGGAUGACGCCGUCGCCUCCCUCGACGACGACUACCACGCCAAGGCCCGCGACCAAAUCGGUGAGAAGGUAGCGGUCGUCCAGGAGCUGGAGAAGGAGCUUCAGGAUCUCGAGGCCAAGCGGAGCAAGCAAAUGUCGGCGCCCUCUCGCCUCAAGGCGCUGGAGGAGAAGAAGGAUGCAUUUACUGCCGACGUUCAGAAGUUCGAGGCCGUGGUGAAGAGCUGGUCCACCAAGAUCAAGGAGAAGGAAGAGGCCUUGGUGGAGAAGGAGAAGGAGCUGGAGGCCAAGGUGAUGAAUUGCCAGCAGACCAUGGUCGAGAAUGAGGAGCUGGUGAAACAGGUCGAGACGCAGGUGGUCAAUGUGAGGGAUGUCGAUAGGAUGGCGAGGGAGAUGCAAGCUGUGGAGAAUGAUAUUGCCAAGUUGGAGAAUGCGAAUGCCGUGCUGGAGGAGAAGGGGUGGGAACUCGAAGCUGCACUAGUCAGUAAGCUCGAGGAGAUCGAGGGCCUUGCGGAGCUGUGCAACCAGUCCCUCAGAAAGUUGAAACCCAGUAUUGAUUUCCAGUACGAGGUAAAUGCAAAAGGAUCCUCCCCGGCUGAGAUCCUUGGUACCACCUACAAAACCACUCUGAAGCCCGCGCUCAAUGCUCUUGCCAAUGAGACUAAAAGGCUAAUUAUCUCAAAGCACGACGAGUCAAGUGAUCUACAAAAGCAGCUGCAAGGAAUUGUUAAAAUGCUGGAGGAGAAAAGGAGUCAUGUUUCUGUUCUACAGGCUAAAAAUAAUGAGAUGACUGCUCAGGUGGAUUCACUGGAUCGUGAAAUCCAAAGUCAUGUUUCACGCUGCGCAGCUGAUGCUAGAAAAAUGAAAGACGAGCUAGAGAAAAAGGAACAUCACCUGAGCACCAUUGAGAAGGAGGCAGAGGUCUUUUUAAAGAACUCUGAAGAGGGUCUCCAAGCUGCGUUGAAGGAGACCGACGAAGAAACCCAGAUGUGCGCGAGGGAGCUGCUCAAGCUCAUUGAUUCCAUCGCAGAGUACAAGGAGUUUGUGGAGCAGUCAACUGCCGAGAUGAAGAAAGAGCUCUACGAAUGCGCGGACGACAUUGCUUCGCUGUCGGCCAAGAUGGUGUGA
rnacentral:rRNA from 1 species